CCCCCAUGAAUCAUUAAAUACUACAAGUGGGCACACUAACAGUAAUAAAUUGACCCAGCACAGCUGACUAACGAACCAAGUUACCCCAGGGAUAACAGCGCAAUCCCCUUCAAGAGUCCUUAUC
rnacentral:rRNA from 1 species